UCACUAUUCCAGAUAGGUGAUCGAAAGCAAUGGCAUCUGCAUUUUGGAAAAUACAAUUUCUAUUUGUUCUGCUUUCUGUUUGGUUCUAUAGCUGCGUCGAUGGUAAAAGUGAACGGAUAUUAACCAGCAGUACAGACGUAAAUGGAGAACGUUUACACCAAAUGGACCUUACUAUCCAGAACAUGAAAUCACAGAUCUCUGGAUAUGACAGCAUGAUCCAACAAAUUCAGACGCUCUUAUCCCAAAAGGAUACUGAGGUAAUACAAUAUUAAUAUUUCAUUCAAACGCCAAGAUUUUUCUACAUUAUGUGGAGAAUGCCUUGUUGGAUAAAGUCCUUCAAUUUUACAUCCAGUGCUACCACGCAGCUAUAGUGGAUUACGUUUCAAAACGGGGGAUCUAUAAAUAUGCAAUCACGUUUGGUCGGAAAGGUUUUUUUUUAAAUCUGAUGCCUCAAAAAAGACAAAUGCCACCAUGUCAAUUAAUGCCCUUUCCCAACGCACCGCAUCUUUUCUCGCAUUAGCAGUCCUUUCUUGCAUUGACAGUCCUUUAUCGAAUUGACAGUCGUUUUUCGCACUGACAGCCCAUUCUCGCAUUGACAGUCCUUUCUCGCACUUACAGUCCUAUCUCGUUUAUUAUCCCGAUAGGCUUUCUUUGCAGAAUCCACUGUUUGUAAUAAUUUUUACUCGGUGGCCGAGUUGUCUAAGUAGUUACUACUGUAAUCACUAGCCAGUCAACACUGAGGUUGUGAGUUCGAAACCCGACUCAAAUCUUCAUUGACUAGGAUUAUAAGUUUUCCUAUCGAAUGCUAGUGAUUUUCUCAGGGCACUCCGGUGUUUAAACACCAAAAAUCAAAUAAAAUCGAAUGAGACCUACCAAAUAAGCCAAGUUAUCUAUCACCAGUUUGUAACUACAUGAGCAACUCGACGGAUGUCACAUGUUGAGCAGGACAGGUUCACCCUACCAGAGCAGCUAAUAUCUUCCGCAGUUUUUAGUGGGGUUUUCUAUUUUAUUUUGUAUACUGUUUUUUUUUUCUUUUGGUCGUUUUGGUCUUUUUUUGCAAUGAAACUGUCAGUUUGGGUUAGACUAUUGAGUUUGAAUAUCCUUUUAUCAUUUGGCUCUAUUUUUUACUGCCAAUUACAAAACAUUUAUAGAUUAAUCAUAUUAUCAUGGAUACAACCCUGGUCCACUUUUGUUGACUUGCUCUUUUGUUCAUAUGAAACAGACUUCAUGAAAUACAUUCUCAGAUUUUUUUGUAUAAAGAGGACUUAAUUUUUAACAAAAAUGAUGCCUCUUACUAAAUCAUAUACAAUCUAUUUAUGUUUUAUCACCGACUUUCUUCUAACAUGAGCGGUACGAUGUAUGCACACUUAAGAAAGAUUUUUGCGAUGCCGUGAGGUCACCACUGUUGUUUGGAAGGGUUCGUGUCGUUCAAUGUUUAGAUUUCUAUGUCAUAUUUUGUAAACUGUUGUUUGUCUUUCCGUCGUUUUCCUUUUUUGCAGGGAACUUGUCGAUUUCUUUUCAAUAAAAUAUUUCUAAUUGUCCCUUUGGUUCCUUCUGCCUCUUUUUUCUAUUAGACUUAAGGAUAAUACUGAGUAUGGCUGUUUGCGUAAACUUCAAGGUUUUGCGAAACAUUGGUAACUGUAUAAAUAUCUUUUUUUAUUAUACAAUCUAUUGUCUGGUAUAACUGACAUUAACCUAUUGAUAUUUCUUAAACAGAUUAAAAAUCUAACUGCUGAAAUAUCCAGUCUAAAGAGAAAGG
rnacentral:lncRNA from 1 species